rnacentral:tRNA from 1 species
UGGUUCAGCGGUAGAAUUCUUACCUUCCAUGUAGGAGACCUGGGUUCAAGUCCUGG